ensembl:misc_RNA 7SK 7SK RNA
GGAUGUGAGGGCGGUCUGGCUGCAACAUGUCACCCCAUUGAUCUCCAGGGUUGAUUCGGCUGAUCUGGCUGGCUAGGUGGGUGUCCCCUUCCUAACUCACCACUCCAUGUGUGUCCUUCCUGAAGUUGCGUGCUCGGGCUAAGAGGACGGCCUUCCCCUAAUAGAGACAGACCGGUCUUCGAUUGAGGGUAUACGAGUAGGGGCGCUCCUGUGCUAGAACCUCCAAACAAGCUCUCAAUAAACAGAAUACUGGAGCUGGGUGACAGCACAUCUAGUUAAGUGCACCUGUAACCAUGUGCAAAGUCUCAGGUU